AGACCCGAAACCCGGUGAUCUAGCCAUGGGCAGGUUGAAGGUUGGGUAACACUAACUGGAGGACCGAACCGACUAAUGUUGAAAAAUUAGCGGAUGACCUGUGGCUGGGGGUGAAAGGCCAAUCAAACCGGGAGAUAGCUGGUUCUCCCCGAAAGCUAUUUAGGUAGCGCCUCGUGAAUUCAUCUCCGGGGGUAGAGCACUGUUUCGGCUAGGGGGCCAUCCCGGCUUACCAACCCGAUGCAAACUGCGAAUACCGGAGAAUGUUAUCACGGGAGACACACGGCGGGUGCUAACGUCCGUCGUGAAGAGGGAAACAACCCAGACCGCCAGCUAAGGUCCCAAAGUCAUGGUUAAGUGGGAAACGAUGUGGGAAGGCCCAGACAGCCAGGAUGUUGGCUUAGAAGCAGCCAUCAUUUAAAGAAAGCGUAAUAGCUCACUGGUCGAGUCGGCCUGCGCGGAAGAUGUAACGGGGCUAAACCAUGCACCGAAGCUGCGGCAGCGACACUCAGGUGUUGUUGGGUAGGGGAGCGUUCUGUAAGCCUGCGAAGGUGUGUCGUGAGGC
rnacentral:rRNA from 1 species